CAGCCACAUCAUGUUGAAACACCAGUUUCCAUACGAUCACCAAAGUUGAGCAUUGUCAAGCCUGCUCAGUACCUAGAUGGGUGACCAGUUGGAAUUAUCGGGUGCUGUAAG